rnacentral:rRNA from 1 species
GCAGGCGGGCCAAGCGCCGGGGCUCCACCCGUUCCCAUCCCGAACACGGCCGUGACACCCGGCAGCGCCGAUGGUACUUCCCACAAGGGAGGAAGCGUAGGUCCCCGCCCGCU